UCUCCGUAGGUGAACCUGCGGAGGGAUCAUUACAGAGUUCAUGCCCUACCGGGUAGAUCUCCCACCCUAUGUUAUUAUUACUUUGUUGCUUUGGCGGGCCGUUAGGCUCCGGCCCGACUACCGGCCCCGGCUGGUAAGCGCCCGCCAGAGGACCCAAAACCCUGAAUAAUAGUGUCGUCUGAGUACUAUAUAAUAGUUAAAACUUUCAACAACGGAUCUCUUGGUUCUG
rnacentral:misc_RNA from 1 species